CGGUCCGGUAUUACGGUGGCGCAUAAAAUAAAACUCUCGAUAACAAUCGAGAAAGCCUUGCCGGCUUAUGAUCAGACCAUUUUUUAUCGUGCGGGGGGGCAAACGAAAAUGGAACAACUGUAAACGUAUAAACAUACAAACAUGUUAAAAUGUGUAAAAAAAAAUUAUUAAACUAAAGAUAACUCAUGGUUUUAAUCCAACUUUUCAAGCUAUGCGGAAUUACAUUUACCCCGCUACGGAGUUGUUAUGAUUUGAUUAC